CAGAAACAUUUCAUAGUACUAUAUAAUGUGUAAAUAUGCGACAAGAAUCAAAUUGGAGUAGGUCGGGCAACUGAUUAUAUGAGUUUGUUAGAAAAACCACUUUCCUUUGCUCCUAGCGCCUUCUAGUUCGCUGUAUAGCGUUUUGAGCGGAUAAAGAGCACAAGUGUGUAAGGGGACACAGGAUGAAUGUGAACUAGUUUUGUUAUUGUACUUUUGAUGAAAAGUCACUUUCUAGACAUAAAAUGUCACUUUUUUCACCUUAUCAUACUUUUUCAUCAACUUUUGCAUUUUAAUGUAAACAAUCCUAUUUCGUAAUAUUUUGGGUCAGAAACAUUUCAUAGUACUAUAUUAUGUGUAAAUAUGUGAAAAGAAUCAAAUUGGAGUAGGUCGGGCAACUGAUUAUAUGAGUUUGUGUUAAAAACCACUUUCCUUUGCUCCUAGCGCCUUCUCGUUCGCUGUAUAGCGUUUUGAGCGGAUAAAGAGCACAAGUGUGUAAGGGGACACAGGAUGAAUGUGAACUAGAUUUGUUAUUGUACUUUUGAUGAAAAGUGACUUUCUAGACAUAAAAUGUCACUUUUUUCACCUUAUCAUACUUUUUCAUCAACUUUUGCAUUUUAAUGUAAACAAUCGCAUUUCAUAAUAUUUUGGGUCAGAAACAUUUCAUAGUACUAUAUUAUGUCUAACUAUGUGAAAAGAAUCAAAUUGGAGUAGGUCGGGCAACUGAUUAUAUGAGUUUGUUAGAAAAAAACACUUUCCUUUGCUCCUAGCGCCUUCUAGUUCGCUGUAUAGCGUUUUGAGCGGAUAAAGAGCACAAGUGUGUAAGGGGACACAGGAUGCAUGUGAAUAAGUUUUGUUAUUGUACUUUUGAUUCAAAGUGACUUUCUAGACAUAAAAUGUCACUUUUUUCACCUUAUCAUACUUUUGCAUUUUAAUGUAAACAAUCAUAUUUCGUAAUAUUUUGGGUCAGAAACAUUUCUUAGUACUAUAUUAUGUCUAACUAUGUGAAAAAAAUCAAAUUGGAGUAGGUCGGGCAACUGAUUAUAUGAGUUUGUUAGAAAAACCACUUUCCUUUGCUCCUAGCGCCUUCUCGUUCGCUCUAUAGCGUUUUGAGCGGAUAAAGAGCACAAGUGUGUAAGGAGACACAGGAUGUAUGCGAACUACUUUUGUUAUUGUACUUUUGAUGAAAACUGACUUUCUAGACAUAAAAUGUCACUUUUUUCACCUUAUCAUACUUUUUCAACAACUUUUGCAUUUUAAUGUAAACAAUCAUAUUUCGUAAUAUUUUGGGUCAGAAACAUUUCUUAGUACUAUAUUAUGUCUAACUAUGUGAAAAAAAUCAAAUUGGAGUAGGUCGGGCAACUGAUUAUAUGAGUUUGUUAGAAAAACCACUUUCCUUUGCUCCUAGCGCCUUCUCGUUCGCUCUAUAGCGUUUUGAGCGGAUAAAGAGCACAAGUGUGUAAGGAGACACAGGAUGAAUGCGAACUACUUUUGUUAUUGUACUUUUGAAGAAAACUGACUUUCUAGACAUAAAAUGUCACUUUUUUCGCCUUAUCAUACUUUUUCAACAACUUUUGCAUUUUAAUGUAAACAAUCAUAUUUCGUAAUAUUUUGGGUCAGAAACAUUUCUUAGUACUAUAUUAUGUCUAACUAUGUGAAAAAAAUCAAAUUGGAGUAGGUCGGGCAACUGAUUAUAUGAGUUUGUUAGAAAAACCACUUUCCUUUGCUCCUAGCGCCUUCUCGUUCGCUCUAUAGCGUUUUGAGCGGAUAAAGAGCACAAGUGUGUAAGGAGACACAGGAUGAAUGCGAACUACUUUUGUUAUUGUACUUUUGAUGAAAACUGACUUUCUAGACAUAAAAUGUCACUUUUUUCACCUUAUCAUACUUUUUCAUCAACUUUUGCAUUUUAAUGUAAACAAUCAUAUUUCGUAAUAUUUUGGGUCAGAAACAUUUCUUAGUACUAUAUUAUGUCUAACUAUGUGAAAAAAUCAAAUUGGAGUAGGUCGGGCAACUGAUUAUAUGAGUUUGUUAGAAAAACCACUUUCCUUUGCUCCUAGCGCCUUCUCGUUCGCUCUAUAGCGUUUUGAGCGGAUAAAGAGCACAAGUGUGUAAGGAGACACAGGAUGCAUGCGAACUACUUUUGUUAUUAAGCUUUAAAACAUCGG
ensembl:lncRNA